GAUGAACGCUAGCGGCAGGCUUAACACAUGCAAGUCGAGGGGUAGAGGUUGCUUGCAACCUUGAGACCGGCGCACGGGUGCGUAACGCGUAUGCAACCUACCUUUUACAGAGGGAUAGCCCAGAGAAAUUUGGAUUAAUACCUCAUAGUAUAUAACCUUCGCAUGUUGGUUAUAUUAAAGUUCCAACGGUAAAAGAUGGGCAUGCGUCCUAUUAGCUAGAUGGUAAGGUAACGGCUUACCAUGGCAACGAUAGGUAGGGGUCCUGAGAGGGAGAUCACCCACACUGGGACUGAGAAACGGACCAGACUCCUACGGGAGGCAGCAGUGAGGAAUAUUGGACAAUGGGCGCAAGCCUGAUCCAGCCAUGCCGCGUGCAGGAAGAAGCAUCUAUGGUGUGUAAACUGCUUUUGUACAGGAAGAAACACCCCGACGUGUCGGGGCUUGACGGUACUGUAAGAAUAAGGAUCGGCUAACUCCGUGCCAGCAGCCGCGGUAA
rnacentral:rRNA from 1 species